rnacentral:lncRNA from 1 species
UUUUCCUAUGUUGCGUGGCUGGUGAAUGUUCUUUGUAGCAUUGAGGGUUGUAGCAGCAUCCUCCUUGUUUCUGCAAUCAGCGUGGAGUUUUAUUUUCUUGGUGAUAUGGUUUGAACGUGGUGUUACAAAAGUAGUGGUCCAUUGGUGGUGAUCAACAGCGGUGCUGCUGCCAUCCUUUUGCAGCUAUAGAUUGCAGCGCUGAUCUCUUUCGGCGGUACGAAUUUCUGAGCUGUGGGGUGUAGAUAGCUUCAGUCUAGAUUUAGGAUGCACCGGAAGAGUGUGUUAUUACUUGAACUUGUGUCCAUUUGUCGCCAAAGCUCCAAUUCUUGCGAUACUUCCCCGACGCAUGCUUAUUCAGUUCUUAAGUGGGUGUCGAUUGUGUUUAGAGAGUGGAAAGUGGCGUACACUUGGAUCUUGUUUUGCUUGUAUCUAGUUCGAGUAGGAGUAACGGAACAAUUCCGAUCAAGAGGAAGGCGUUCGAAUGGUGCCGUUUUUGCAGAUUGGAAGUCAGAUAGGAUAUCACAAUACCAGGCGACUGUUAGAGGUCUUCUGUGGAUUCCAAGGAAUGUGCGAGAUAGCUCGUUUAAUAAAGAGGAACUGAAGAUCAAAGACAAAGAGAUCCAUCAACUUGCACGGCUUGAAAUCAUAGAAUAGUGUAAUAAAGGAAUUAGGAGAUCAUCUUAUUGGGACUGCAGAAGCUACUGAAUCUAUAGCAUUGCCAAUUCACGUAAUACAUAAGAGAAAUAAAGAGUCUUUAUUAGAAGCUGAUUGUCUGCAGAAGCAAUUCACACAACGGCUAAUCAGAUUAGGGAUGUUGAUGCAUGAAGGGCAGUUGCAGUGAAAGGCGAAGAGGUCAUUCUACAAGGAGCUCACAGAUGUCAACUAGAGCAUGGGAAACUUUAAGAACGAGGAGAGGCUAUUGACGAUUGAGGAAGAUGCUCAGGCUUGGCAUAGGGCAACUUAGAAUUGUGCCAUUGUUGUUCAAUCUGAGAACUGGGAUCUAGUGUCCAGCUCCUUCAAUGACCUUGUAUUUGGUGAAUAUUUAAGAUGGGAUGAAGUUAUGAAUUAG